rnacentral:rRNA from 1 species
UACGUAGGGUGCGAGCGUUGUCCGGAAUUAUUGGGCGUAAAGAGCUCGUAGGCGGUGUGUCACGUCGGCCGUGAAAACUUGCAGCUUAACUGUGGGCGUGCGGUCGAUACGGGCAUCACUGGAGUUCGGCAGGGGAGACUGGAAUUCCUGGUGUAGCGGUGAAAUGCGCAGAUAUCAGGAGGAACACCGGUGGCGAAGGCGGGUCUCUGGGCCGACACUGACGCUGAUGCGCGAAAGCCAGGGGAGCGAACGGG